AGUGAACGCUGGCGGCGUGCUUAACACAUGCAAGUCGAACGAGAACGGGUUAUAGCUUGCUAUAAUUGUCAGCUAAGUGGCGCACGGGUGAGUAAUGUAUAGGUAAUAUGCCUCUUACUAAGGGAUAACAAAUGGAAACGUUUGCUAAUACCUUAUACUCCUUAUUAACAGAAGUUAAUAAGGGAAAGAUUUAUUGGUAAGAGAUUAGCCUGUAUUGUAUCAGUUAGUUGGUGGGGUAAUGGCCUACCAAGACUAUGACACAUAACUGGUUUGAGAGGAUGAUCAGUCACACUGGAACUCAGACACGGUCCAGACUCCUACGGGAGGCAGCAGUGGGGAAUAUUGCACAAUGGACGAAAGUCUGAUGCAGCAACGCCGCGUGGAGGAUGACACAUUUCGGUGCGUAAACUCCUUUUAUAUGAGAAGAUAAUGACGGUAUUAUGUGAAUAAGCACCGGCUAACUCCGUGCCAGCAGCCGCCGUAA
rnacentral:rRNA from 1 species